GGGACGAACGCUGGCGGCGUGCUUAACACAUGCAAGUCGAGCGGUGAUCCUCCUUCGGGAGGUGAUCAGCGGCGAACGGGUGAGUAACACGUGGGCAACCUGCCCCUCACACUGGGAUAACCUCGGGAAACCGGGGCUAAUACCGGAUACGACCUCGAGCGGCAUCUCUUGAGGUGGAAAGCUCCGACGGUGAGGGAUGGGCCCGCGGCCUAUCAGCUUGUUGGUGGGGUAAUGGCCUACCAAGGCGACGACGGGUA
rnacentral:rRNA from 1 species